CAAAAGCCACGAAAUGCACAAUAGAGGACUGAGAGUUGGGAGUCAGAGGUUAAAAAAAUGAAAACCACAGUGAAAAGGGGGAAUGGAGUCUGAAGAUAGAGGUGCUGUCAGUUACCGUGAGUAAAAUAGAAAAGGGGAAAGUAAGAAAGGGAAAGUAAGAAAUCUAGGGUUUUAAAUAAAAGAGGGUUAAAAAAGUAAAUAACAAAAUACAAAAAAGAUUAUUUUAAUAAUAUAGAAAAAAUUAAAAAAAAUGGGGAGGUGGAAGGCCAAAAGUAGAGGUGCAGGAUCGACGCCCUUUGUACUUUUAGGUCUAAUGUGGGCCCAUUAGUCAUGAUAACCAUGUUAUCCAAGAGAAAAACCUUGAACAAAAUAUAUGUGGGGGUUACUCCCUGUACCUCCCCAAUUCCAUCCCCCACCCCCCAAUUUUUUUGGAUUUUUUUUAAAUACAAAAAUAACCUUUUUGUUUUUUUUUUUUUUUACCUUUAUAC
rnacentral:lncRNA from 1 species